AAAAGACAAAAGAAAAGGAAAACAGUGGGCUUAAGUAUAUUCUGUGUCAGCUGCAUAUAUAUCCUACCCCUAUAUGUUCUCACCCUUGCCAGAAUCAGCUAAGCUUAGGUUUUAGUGUGUUUCCCCCCGUAAGAAAUCAUAAAAAUCUUUUCCGCUGAAAGAAAACAUUCCAAACAUAAUUAUAUCUUGCUUGUUGGUUAAAUCUGAAUACGGAUAUAUAUAACUUGCUAUUGGUGCAUGGGUGCAGGAACUGGUGGCCAGACGCCUGUGGAUGCCACGCGCACCAUCGGAUAUCGUGCCCUGCCACCAAGGUCUGGCAUUAGCUAUUCUCGCAAGUGCAAGAAGAUUUACCGUUGUCGACCCCCGGUCCCAUAGCUGCAGAGUAAAAUAGUAGGUGUACUACUAGUAAUGGCUGCAGCGGGUGCUACAUCCUCGCAUAUACUGCCUUGAAAUGGGCAUAUGAACUACAUAAGCAAUCGUAUCAUGAUGCCAUGUUCGCUUUGUUGUACGCGUACUGUGUACCUAAUGGUAGUUGGGAAUUUUAAAGCUGCCGCGUUGUUUCUGUUGCUGUUAUAUUGAGUUACGGGCUCUCUCUUAUCUACUUCCUUUUCACUAUUUUUUGCAAUGCUCGUUGCUCUGAUGGAUGCCGACAUCGAGCAGGUCCUCCGCCACCCUCAAAUCUGCAGGUCACUAAUAAUAUCACAUUGUUGCAGGUCACUGACCUCAAAUCUGCGAAGCUAUGCCUGUGAAUCAGACAAUAUCCUUAGAAAUUCGACCUCCUUGAUUCUAACAU
rnacentral:lncRNA from 1 species